rnacentral:lncRNA from 1 species
GCCUGGCUUGCCUGAUAUUUUUAUCAGCUUCAUUCACAUCAGGUCAUCGAUUCUCUUCAACGUUGGUUGUAUUCAACUAUUCAUCCCUUUAUAUGUAUCUACCAGACAAGAAAAUCUCUUGUUCUUCAUAUCGAGCUAGACUGUAUACAAAACAGCAGCAACAGCCCGCGAAAAUUAGUGUGCAGAUGGGUUCAAAUUCCUUGCUAACAAUAAGAAUGCCCGUGACAAAACUCAAAUACACAUACCUAUAGUAUCUAGGAUCGUCAUGCAUAUCAGACGACUUUUUUAUUUUUAUUAACCAUUUAAUCACUCAUUUUUCAUCAUUAUGUUCUAUUUCAUCUUUUCUUCCACCCACUAUCUUCGUCUCCUUACAUCCCUAUCUACAAUGGAUAUGUGGAAUUUUAUUUACUAUCAAGAACUACGGAUAAGCAAAGUAAGAAAAAUAAUAAUAAGCUACUGCAAUAGAAAAUGCUGGAGUUACACACAAAAAGGGCAAAACAAAAUAGAUCUUAAUCUCACUCAAAUAGCAGUGCAAUUUCAGUGCUGAAGUAGACCACAUACCCCAAUGAAUUUGUCACUGGCAUACACAAUGUUAGCCACAAGCAUAACAAAAACUCCAAAGUACGCCUGGCUUGCCUGAUAUUUUUAUCAGCUUCAUUCACAUUAGGUCAUCGAUUCUCUUCAAGGUUGGUUGUAUUCAACUAUUCAUCCCUCUAUAUGUAUCUACCAGACAAGAAAAUCUCUUGUUCUUCAUAUCGAGCUAGACUGUUACAAAACAGCAGCAACAGUCCACCAAAAUUAGUGUGCAGAUGGGUUCAAAUUCCUUGCUAAUAAUAAGAAUGCCGUGACAAAACUAAAAAAUAAAGUAAAA